AGGGUGUAAUGGGUAGCACUUCAGACUCUGACUCUGAGACAAUCUGAGUUCAAAUCUCAGU
rfam:Daphnia pulex DAPPTscaffold_712_Cont10749, whole genome shotgun sequence.